rnacentral:rRNA from 1 species
GCUUAACACAUGCAAGUCGAACGGAAAGGCCCUGCUUUUGUGGGGUGCUCGAGUGGCGAACGGGUGAGUAACACGUGAGUAACCUGCCCUUGACUUUGGGAUAACUUCAGGAAACUGGGGCUAAUACCGGAUAGGAGCUCCUGCUGCAUGGUGGGGGUUGGAAAGUUUCGGCGGUUGGGGAUGGACUCGCGGCUUAUCAGCUUGUUGGUGGGGUAGUGGCUUACCAAGGCUUUGACGGGUAGCCGGCCUGAGAGGGUGACCGGCCACAUUGGGACUGAGAUACGGCCCAGACUCCUACGGGAGGCAGCAGUGGGGAAUAUUGCACAAUGGGCGGAAGCCUGAUGCAGCAACGCCGCGUGCGGGAUGACGGCCUUCGGGUUGUAAACCGCUUUCGCCUGUGACGAAGCGUGAGUGACGGUAAUGGGUAAAGAAGCACCGGCUAACUACGUGCCAGCAGCCGCGGUGAUACGUAGGGUGCGAGCGUUGUCCGGAUUUAUUGGGCGUAAAGGGCUCGUAGGUGGUUGAUCGCGUCGGAAGUGUAAUCUUGGGGCUUAACCCUGAGCGUGCUUUCGAUACGGGUUGACUUGAGGAAGGUAGGGGAGAAUGGAAUUCCUGGUGGAGCGGUGGAAUGCGCAGAUAUCAGGAGGAACACCAGUGGCGAAGGCGGUUCUCUGGGCCUUUCCUGACGCUGAGGAGCGAAAGCGUGGGGAGCGAACAGGCUUAGAUACCCUGGUAGUCCACGCUGUAAACGGUGGGUACUAGGUGUGGGGUCCAUUCCACGGGUUCCGUGCCGUAGCUAACGCUUUAAGUACCCCGCCUGGGGAGUACGGCCGCAAGGCUAAAACUCAAAGGAAUUGACGGGGCCCCGCACAAGCGGCGGAGCAUGCGGAUUAAUUCGAUGCAACGCGUAGAACCUUACCUGGGUUUGACAUGGAUCGGGAGUGCUCAGAGAUGGGUGUGCCUCUUUUGGGGUCGGUUCACAGGUGGUGCAUGGCUGUCGUCAGCUCGUGUCGUGAGAUGUUGGGUUAAGUCCCGCAACGAGCGCAACCCUUGUUCACUGUUGCCAGCACGUUAUGGUGGGGACUCAGUGGAGACCGCCGGGGUCAACUCGGAGGAAGGUGGGGAUGACGUCAAGUCAUCAUGCCCCUUAUGUCCAGGGCUUCACGCAUGCUACAAUGGCUGGUACAGAGAGUGGCGAGCCUGUGAGGGUGAGCGAAUCUCGGAAAGCCGGUCUCAGUUCGGAUUGGGGUCUGCAACUCGACCUCAUGAAGUCGGAGUCGCUAGUAAUCGCAGAUCAGCAACGCUGCGGUGAAUACGUUCCCGGGGCUUGUACACACCGCCCGUCAAGUCAUGAAAGUUGGUAACACCCGAAGCCGGUGGCCUAACCGUUGUGGGGGGGCCGUCGAAGGUGGGACUGGUGAUUAGGACUAAG